rnacentral:lncRNA from 1 species
CGCCGCCUUCUUCUCCUCCUCCUCCUCCUCUCAGGAGCGGCAGCCGCUGUGCCGUCGCCCGGCGGCGGGUUGAAGUUGCCGGCGGAGUCAUGAUUCAGCACUUCUAUUUUUAACCGCCGGGGCGGCCGCGGGCGCGCAGCGACCGCCGUUCUCCGCCGCUCCCCCCCGCCCGCCGCCUUCCUAUGGGCUUUGCGCUAAUCGCCGCCGCGGUGGGAGGCCGGCGGGGGGGCAGCCGGAGGACGGCGUCAAACCGAAGGGGAAGGGUGCGGAGCUGCCGUGCUUGUUAUCUAAUUGGAGAUUCAAAGUACGUAUGAGGUCUUGGAUCGGGUGCAUUAGAAACAUCCUUUUGUCUCUGAGCAUCUCUUCAGGGAAGCUGAACUGCCGGGUGCCAGUGACAGGGCUUUCAAAACCAAAUGAAGCUGUGGAAACAAGGAGGAGUCACCAAAGGAAAAGUAAGAGACGGGGAAUAAAGUGAAAGGGUUUACCUUUAAAAAUAGUCUUGU